GGCACUCUUCUUCUUCACUCUGCCAUUGUCUUCGUUGCUAAUUAAUCGUAAUACAGUCUUCUUCUUGAGGAACUGCUGAUGCAGCGUCGUUCAUGCCGGCGUUUGAAUCCUUCGUCGGUUGUGAAGUCCCAGUCAAACAGGAAGCACAGGCGAUCCACAGCAACUGCUCGUCAAAUCCAGCAAACCUCUCCAAAUCUUAGGUAUACGCAUGUGAUCUAAGAAAAAGGCAUCGUUGUAAUGGUCGGACAUCAAUGGAUCCAACAAGGUGUUAAUGCAGCAAGAAGAGAGCUGCAAGUUCUUGCAGGCUGUUGCUGGUUUGGGAGGUGAAUGAUUAGAGAAAGAGGAGCACGAAUCCCUGGCCCUGUGCAGCGGCGUAGGCCCCGCAGUAAUGGACUCGGAGACAGGAACGGCGUCAUUGACGGAGAGCGAGCUGCAAGUUGCACUCGGCCAUUGACAGCGGCAGCCUACCCACCGAUGUUAGUGACCGCAACCUCGAUGCUUGGCUGCUUAUGGUAGGCGAUCGAUCGGCCCACGAUAUCAUUGGUUCCUUUGGUGAGAAGCAUACAAGGUGCUCUGGCUGCCUCCGGCUGCGGCGGCUAACCUGUCUCGAUCCAGAUCGGGUUCAUGGAGCAGAGGAAGUGGCACGACUUCGGCCAUGGCUUGAGGACAUUGUGUUUCGCUUAAGAUACUAACGUUCAAGAAAGCCUCGUGGUACCACUUCGGCGGCUAACCUGUCCUUUUCUGCUGUCUCCGUCUUCCUACUGCUGCCUCCUCGCUAGCACUACUAUAAGCCCCCGGAGUUACUCUCACAUGAGAUGCGAUCGCCUCGGCGAAGGACAUUCUUGCUCGCGCCGCAGACGACGCUCCCGAUGAAGCGCACGCUGGUGGGCAGCGGCCGGAAGAGUGGGAAGCAUCCUGUCUUCGUCUUCGUGUUCACCGUCUUCUUGUUCUUCACGUUCGUGUACAACGAGGACAUCAGAUCCUUCGCUGAGUACUCCUUCAGUGGCAGCAGAGCCAAGUCUCAGGUCUUGGCCCGGCAAGAGCUCGUCGUAGAUACACCGAGACACGAAGCAAAUGUGGACGAUGGCUUCCACAGAAGAGAAGAAUCCGAAGAUGAUGAUGAGGAGCGGGAGGAGAGUAAGAAGGGGAAAACAGUGGUAGAGAGGACAGCAGGUGAUACGGCGGCCAGAGAACGGUCGCCGCCAGCCAAGGAAGACCACCGAGAGCGUGAGAGCAACACGGCGAACAUGUCGGUGGUCGUCGACGUACCGCAAGUGGUUCAGCUGCCGUCGCAGCACAAGGCGGAGGCGGAGGCGGAGGCGAAGCCGCAGAGGGGCGUGCUUAACGUGCCGGAGACCUGCGACAUCUUCGACGGCCGGUGGGUCUACGACGACGUCUCGUACCCGCUCUACAAGGAGCACGAGUGCCGGUUCCUGACGGAGCAGGUGACCUGCUUGAGGAACGGCCGCCGCGACGACACCUACCAGAAGUGGCGGUGGCAGCCGCGGGACUGUGACUUGCCGAGAUUCGAUGCUCGGCUGCUGUUGGAGAGGCUGAGGGGGAAGCGCCUCAUGUUCGUGGGGGACUCCCUCAACAGGAACCAGUGGGAGUCCAUGGUGUGCCUCGUCCAAUCUGCCAUCCCAAGGGGCAAGAAGACUCUCACCAAGCACGGCUCGGUCAGCGUCUUCAGAGCCGAGGAGUACAAUGCUACUGUAGAGUUCUACUGGGCGCCGUUCUUGGUGGAAUCCAACUCCGACGACCCAAACAUACACAGCAUUCAGAACCGCAUCAUCAUGCCCGACUCGAUCGCCAAGCACGGGAAACACUGGCAGGGAGUGGACUACUUGAUCUUCAACACCUACAUCUGGUGGAUGAACACCGCCAAGAUGAAGCUCCUGCGAGGAUCGUUCGAUCGAGGGUCGACGAAGUACGACGAGGUCAGUCGGCCAGCGGCCUACCGGCGAGUCCUGACGACAUGGGCGAAGUGGGUGCGCAGGAACGUGAACCCGAAGAAGACGAUGGUGUUCUUCAUGAGCUUGUCGCCCAACCACAUGAGGAGCACGGAUUGGGGCAAUCCAAAGGGGAUAAAGUGCGCGAUGGAGACGACGCCGAUCACGAACAUCUCGCGCCCAUUUAAGCUGGGAACCGACUGGCGACUGUUCCGGGAGGAGGAGGAGGUGAUCCGGGGGAUGAGGUUCCCGGUGUCGUUCAUCAAGAUCACGGCGAUGACGGAGUUCCGGAAGGACGCGCACACGUCCGUCCACACGCUCCGGCAAGGGAAACUGCUGACGCCGGAGCAGCAGGCGGAUCCGGCCUCCUUCGCCGACUGCAUCCACUGGUGCCUGCCGGGCCUGCCGGACACGUGGAACGAGUUCGUCUUCGUCCGCAUCGCAUCCCGACCAUGGCGCAGCUGAUGCACGUGCCCUGAGUUGGCAUCCCCACCUUCUUCCUUCUUACCGUUUACCGCCAUUCUUUUCACCCUUCUUCACACCACGACAACUUUGGAUCUUUGUGUAUCUACCCGUGUCGAAAUCGUAUGGGAUGAACUCCUAUUGCACGGGCAUCGAGAGAAGAGAGAGGACCACAAGAAGAAACAUGAGUGUUAACUUCGAAGUAUCGACGUACGAUACGAUGAUGAUCGAUGUGAGAUGGCGUUCGUCGGAUUCGGACCCGUUGACCAAUCACUAAGCUUCCUGUGGCCAACUGGGAAGAGGAUUUGACUGCACAACAAGAAGAGGGGAAGAAGAAAGUGAAAAGCACCUGUUUGGGAAUCUACAUCAUGCUGAAUGACUGAUAGAUAUGAUUGUUUUGUUGCCUUGUACAUAUGAUUGAUUGAAGUUGUACCACAUAUCAUGUACUCAUCAUCGAGCAAUUGGC